rnacentral:rRNA from 1 species
AUGCAAGUCGAGCGGAACAUGCAAGUCGAGCGGAACGAGAAGUAGCUUGCUACUUCGGCGUCGAGCGGCGGACGGGUGAGUAAUGCAUAGGAAGUUGCCCAGUAGAGGGGGAUAACCAUUGGAAACGAUGGCUAAUACCGCAUAACCUCUUCGGAGCAAAGCGGGGGACCUUCGGGCCUCGCGCUACUGGAUACCCCUAUGUGGGAUUAGCUAGUUGGUGAGGUAAUGGCUCACCAAGGCGACGAUCCCUAGCUGGUCUGAGAGGAUGAUCACCCACACUGGGACUGAGACACGGCCCACACUCCUACGGGAGGCAGCAGUGGGGAAUAUUGCACAAUGGGCGAAAGCCUGAUGCACCCAUGCCGCGUGUAUGAAGAAGGCCUUCGGGUUGUAAAGUACUUUCAGUUGUGAGGAAGGGUGUGUAGUUAAUAACUGCGCAUUUUGACGUUAGCAACAGAAGAAGCACCGGCUAACUCCGUGCCAGCAGCCGCGGUAAUACGGAGGGUGCGAGCGUUAAUCGGAAUUACUGGGCGUAAAGCGCAUGCAGGUGGUUUGUUAAGUCAGAUGUGAAAGCCCGGGGCUCACCCUCGGAGGGUCAUUUGAAACUGGCAAACUAGAGUACUGUAGAGGGGGGUAGAAUUUCGGGUGUAGCGGUGAAAUGCGUAGAGAUCUGAAGGAAUACCAGUGGCGAACGCGCCCCCCUGGACAGAUACUGACACUCAUAUGCGAAAGCGUGGGGAGCAAACAGGAUUAUAUACCCUGGUACUCCACGCCGUAAACGAUGUCUACUUGGAGGUUGUGCCCUUGACCCGUGUCUUUCAGAGCUAACGCGUUAAGUACACCGCCUGGAGAGUACGGUCGCAAGAUUAAAACUCAUAUGAAUUGACGGGGGCCCCGCACAAGCGGUGGAGCAUGUGUUUUAAUUUCGAUGCAGCGCGAAAACUCUUUACCUACUCUUGACAUCCAGAGAUCUUUCCAGAGAUGAUUGGUGCCUUCGGAACCUCU